CCUACGGGAGGCAGCAGUGGGGAAUUUUGGACAAUGGGCGCAAGCCUGAUCCAGCCAUGCCGCGUGCGGGAAGAAGGCCUUCGGGUUGUAAACCGCUUUUGUCAGGGAAGAAAAUGUUCUGGAUAAUACCUGGGACUCAUGACGGUACCUGAAGAAUAAGCACCGGCUAACUACGUGCCAGCAGCCGCGGUAAUACGUAGGGUGCAAGCGUUAAUCGGAAUUACUGGGCGUAAAGCGUGCGCAGGCGGUUAUGCAAGACAGAGGUGAAAUCCCCGGGCUCAACCUGGGAACUGCCUUUGUGACUGCAUAGCUAGAGUACGGUAGAGGGGGAUGGAAUUCCGCGUGUAGCAGUGAAAUGCGUAGAUAUGCGGAGGAACACCGAUGGCGAAGGCAAUCCCCUGGACCUGUACUGACGCUCAUGCACGAAAGCGUGGGGAGCAAACAGGAUUAGAUACCCUGGUAGUCCACGCCCUAAACGAUGUCAACUGGUUGUUGGGAGGGUUUCUUCUCAGUAACGUAGCUAACGCGUGAAGUUGACCGCCUGGGGAGUACGGCCGCAAGGUUGAAACUCAAAGGAUUGACGGNGNGAGAGNGACGACGACGACGACGAGGGAGGAGG
rnacentral:rRNA from 1 species